AUUGAACGCUGGCGGCAGGCUUAACACAUGCAAGUCGAGCGGUAACAGAGAGAAGCUUGCUUCUCUGCUGACGAGCGGCGGACGGGUGAGUAAUGCCUAGGAAUCUGCCUAGUAGGGGGGGAUAACUUGCCGAAAGGUAAGCUAAUACCGCAUACGUCCUACGGGAGAAAGGAGGGGACCUUCGGGCCUUUCGCUAUUAGAUGAGCCUAGGUCGGAUUAGUUAGUUGGUGAGGUAAUGGCUCACCAAGACCGCGAUCCGUAACUGGUCUGAGAGGAUGAUCAGUCACACUGGACCUGAGACACGGUCCAGACUCCGACGGGAGGCAGCAGUGGGGAAUAUUGUACAAUGGGGGGAACCCUGAUCCAGCCAUGCCGCGUGUGUGAAGAAGGUCUUAGGAUUGUAAAGCACUUUAAGUUGGGAGGAAGGGCAGUUAACUAAUAUUUGACUGUUUUGACGUUACCGACAGAAUAAGCACCGGCUAACUUCGUGCCAGCCGCCGCGGUAA
rnacentral:rRNA from 1 species